GCCUCAGCCGAUUGGCUUGCUAGCCGAUUGGCUGGGGAAGGGUCUGGCCUCAGCCGAUUGGCUUGCUAGCCGAUUGGCUUGCUAGCCGAUUGGCUGGGGAAGGGUCUGGCCUCAGCCGAUUGGCUGGGGAAGGAUCAGAGUCCCAUCAGGCAGGUUGCCCGGCGUGGUUUGAAAGGUUUAAAGUGGAGUGAUUACAAAGAGGAAAGCCCAUCCCCCUCCUGUCCUUGAGCUUCUGCUCUCACAGUGUCAGUGGUCUUGGGCCUGCUCCCCCAAAUCAGAAGAGUCUGGCCCUCAGGUCACCCAGCCUCUUUCUCAGGGGUGCAGAGAGAGUAAGUGCUGGGUUGUAGGGUUCUCUUGCCGUCUUUCCACCUUCAUCUGAGCUCUCCUUUCCCCAGUGACUCAUCCCAGCCCACCCCCAGGUGAAACAAGGAAACUCAAGGCUUUCCUCCACCUGCUGUGCAUCCUCAGGAUGGCUCCCUGACCACAGAUCUAGGCCUAGGCCCCAACUCAUGUUGAACGGACACCGCGGCCUGCUGAAGACCCCACACUAACGCACACAGACACCGCGCAUUCUUAUGGAUGUGGUCACAGGACCCUGGUGUGCAGAUUCCCCACGAUUUCACAGACCGGGUCCCUGAUGAGCUUCUGCUGUGUUUCUGUUCCACACCCCAGAAGUCACCGGUCUGAAUGGGUCUCUUGGUUAAAAUCAGCAUGUUCCACGCUGUGUUCCUCCCGGAGGAUCAAGGGGAGAUCCGUCCCUGUCUUUUCCGGCUUCUGCAGGCACCGCAUCCCUGGGCUGUGACCCCCUGUCCAUCCAACCUCCAAUCCCGUGUCCCAUCUCCUCUUGCCUCCCUGGGACCUUAUGAUCCAGGAUCCUGUCCCCACCUCCAAAUAAUUGAACUACCCUGCAGAACCCCUUCUCCCCUGGGGGGCACCGUAUUUCCAGGUUUCAGAGAUUAGGAUGUGGACAUCGGUGUGGGUGGUCGUUCUGCCAGCCACAGAGUUCUUUCCAAUUCCUUCCUAUGUUACUGGAGACACAACGAACAUCUUUGUGCACGCAGAUGGUUCUUUCCUGAGGAAAAAAUGCUGAGUCACAUUGCACAAAAUCAUUUUCUCAUUGGGCGCAGUUGGUCCACCUACUAAAUCACCGCUCAGUGGGGGCUACCCCAGUGGACCUCCAUGGAAAUGCAUGAGCACCCUGUUUUGUUUCCCCUGACCCUCCAGUUUGGGCUGCUGUAACCAGAUACCACGUGCUGGGCAGCUCAAACAAGUAUUUCUUGUGGUUUUGAGGCUGGACAUCCAAGAUCGAGGUGUUGGCAGACUGUCUUCCUUCUGGUGUGUCCUCACAAGGUGGAGAGAGAGAGGAGGAAAGCUUGCUCUCUGUCAUCUCUACUUACAAGGACACUAAUCCCAUCAUGGCGACCCAAUCCUAAUGAUGUCAUCUAAACCUAAUUUCCUCCCAAAGAUCCCGCCUCUGAAAACGAUCACACUGGGGUUUCUGGAGUUUCAACAUAUGAAUUUGGCACGGGGGUGGGGACAGAACACACA